UAGGGAAUCUUCCACAAUGGGCGAAAGCCUGAUGGAGCAACGCCGCGUGUGUGAUGAAGGGUUUCGGCUCGUAAAACACUGUUGUAAGAGAAGAAUGACAUUGAGCGUAACUGUUCAAUGUGUGACGGUAUCUUACCAGAAAGGAACGGCUAAAUACGUGCCAG
rnacentral:rRNA from 1 species